rnacentral:rRNA from 1 species
UACGUAGGGUGCAAGCGUUGUCCGGAAUUACUGGGCGUAAAGGGCGCGUAGGCGGCCGAGCAAGUUAGAUGUGAAAGUCCUGGGCUUAACCUGGGGACUGCAUUUGAUACUGCUUGGCUUGAAUUCGGGAGAGGAUAGCGGAAUUCCCAGUGUAGAGGUGAAAUUCGUAGAUAUUGGGAAGAACACCGGUGGCGAAGGCGGCUAUCUGGACCGACAUUGACGCUGAGGCGCGAAAGCGUGGGGAGCAAACAGG